ACGCUAUUGGAUGAGCCUAUGUCUGAUUAGCUUGUUGGUGGGGUAACGGCCUACCAAGGCGACGAUCAGUAGCUGGUCUGAGAGGACGAUCAGCCACACCGGAACUGAGACACGGUCCGG
rnacentral:rRNA from 1 species